rnacentral:rRNA from 1 species
GUGGGGAAUAUUCCGCAAUGGACGAAAGUCUGACGGAGCAACGCCGCGUGAGUGAUGAAGGUUUUCGGACUGUAAAGCUCUGUUGUUUAGGACGAAAGUGCCUGUUGCAAAUAGUUACAGGUAUUGACGGUACUGAACGAGGAAGCCACGGCUAACUACGUGCCAGCAGCCGCGGUAAUACGUAGGUGGCAAGCGUUGUCCGGAAUUAUUGGGCGUAAAGAGCAUGUAGGCGGGAAUCUAAGUCUGUUGUGAAAAUGCGGGGCUCAACCCCGUAUUGCGAUGGAAACUGGGUUUCUUGAGUGCAGGAGAGGAAAGGGGAAUUCCCAGUGUAGCGGUGAAAUGCGUAGAUAUUGGGAGGAACACCAGUGGCGAAGGCGCCUUUCUGGACUGUGUCUGACGCUGAGAUGCGAAAGCCAGGGUAGCGAACGGGAUUAGAAACCCGUGUAGUCC